rnacentral:rRNA from 1 species
UACGGAGGGUGCGAGCGUUGUCCGGAAUCACUGGGCGUAAAGGGCGCGUAGGCGGCGCGGGUAGUCAUCGGUGAAAGUUCAGGGCUCAACUCUGAAUCGGCCGGUGAUACUCCCGUGCUCGAGCACUGUAGAGGCAGGUGGAAUUCCGGGUGUAGCGGUGGAAUGCGUAGAGAUCCGGAGGAACACCCGUGGCGAAGGCGGCUCUCUGGGUCCGCCCUGACGCUGAGGCGCGAAAGCGUGGGGAGCGAACGGG